CUUGUACUCCCUCCGUCCGAAAAUACUUGUCAUUGAAAUGGAUGUAUCUAGAUGUAUUUUAGUUCUAGACACAUCCAUUUUGAUGACAAGUAAUUAUGGACGGAGGGAGUACUUG
rnacentral:pre_miRNA from 1 species